rnacentral:rRNA from 1 species
GUAGGUGGCAAGCGUUGUCCGGAUUUAUUGGGCGUAAAGAGUAUGUAGGCGGUUUAACAAGUCAGAUGUGAAAGCCCUCGGCUCAACCGAGGAAGGUCAUUUGAAACUGUUAGACUUGAGUGAAGUAGAGGUAAGUGGAAUUUCAUGUGUAGCGGUAAAAUGCGUAGAUAUAUGAAGGAACACCAGUGGCGAAGGCGACUUACUGGACUUACACUGACGCUGAGAUACGAAAGCGUGGGGAGCAAAUAGGAUUAGAUACCCUAGUAGUCCACGCCGUAAACGAUGAGUGCUAAGUGUUGGGGUUAAACCCCAGUGCUGAAGCUAACGCAUUAAGCACUCCGCCUGAGGAGUACGAUCGCAAGGUUG